rnacentral:lncRNA from 1 species
AUAUGAAUAGGCUUCUUGAGCCUUGUGAAGAGUGAAUCCCAGGUGGGGUAAUUCUCACCACUGAGGAGAAAGAAUUUUUUGAAGAGGGCUGCAGAUCCGGUUGGAUAUGAAUACAGAUAUCACUCAAAGUCUGAAUGCAAUGAAUUCUAUUUCAAAGCAACAACUUUCAUAUUUCCUUAAAGAGGAAGCUAUAGAGAAGGAACAGAAGCUGUGGACCAUGCUUCCCAUCUGAGCCUGUCCUCACUUUAUGAAGCUUAAAGAUCUCAACCUGUAACCCCAGAAGCAUCAACCAGCACAUACAUCAGAUGGACAGAUUACCAUCAAGCUCUCUGCAGAAGCACAGAAUGCAUCUCAU